UAUAUAUUUCACAUGCACAGGAAAUAGUUUACCCCUAUUCAGGCAUAGUUCUGACAAUACAGUCUGUCUACCACCACUUGGGUUCUGUUUUGAUCAGGAAAGCACAGAGGAAGGUUGUUUUGUUGGUUGAGAAGUAUUAUUGAUGCUUUUCAGGAAUUGGCUUACUUUUUGUUUCCCAGUAUUUGUUGUACGUAUAUCAUUGAAAUCGAGAGACUCGCAAAAGAUAACCAAAUAUGGCUGCCGUGCAGACGACAACAACAGCAACCAGUUCUCUUAUUCUUUCAAUCAUUCUUAUUAUCACACUGAUAUCACUAAACAUCGAUGCGAAGGAACUCGGCAAUGAUUGUGAAGUUAAAAUCCCUCCCAAUAUCGGUGAGAUUUUAUCUCGUUUAG